rnacentral:rRNA from 1 species
UACGUAGGGCGCAAGCGUUGUCCGGAAUUAUUGGGCGUAAAGAGCUCGUAGGCGGUCUGUUGCGUCCGCUGUGAAAACCCAGGGCUUAACCCUGGCGUUGCAGUGGAUACGGGCAGACUAGAGGCAGGUAGGGGAGAAUGGAAUUCCCGGUGUAGCGGUGAAAUGCGCAGAUAUCGGGAGGAACACCGGUGGCGAAGGCGGUUCUCUGGGCCUUACCUGACGCUGAGGAGCGAAAGCGUGGGGAGCGAACAGGAUUAGAACCUC